CAAGUCGAGCGAGCUUGCCUAGAUGAAUUUGGUGCUUGCACCAAAUGAAACUAGAUACAAGCGAGCGGCGGACGGGUGAGUAACACGUGGGUAACCUGCCCAAGAGACUGGGAUAACACCUGGAAACAGAUGCUAAUACCGGAUAACAACACUAGACGCAUGUCUAGAGUUUAAAAGAUGGUUCUGCUAUCACUCUUGGAUGGACCUGCGGUGCAUUAGCUAGUUGGUAAGGUAACGGCUUACCAAGGCAAUGAUGCAUAGCCGAGUUGAGAGACUGAUCGGCCACAUUGGGACUGAGACACGGCCCAAACUCCUACGGGAGGCAGCAGUAGGGAAUCUUCCACAAUGGACGCAAGUCUGAUGGAGCAACGCCGCGUGAGUGAAGAAGGGUUUCGGCUCGUAAAGCUCUGUUGGUAGUGAAGAAAGAUAGAGGUAGUAACUGGCCUUUAUUUGACGGUAAUUACUUAGAAAGUCACGGCUAACUACGUGCCAGCAGCCGCGGUAAUACGUAGGUGGCAAGCGUUGUCCGGAUUUAUUGGGCGUAAAGCGAGUGCAGGCGGUUCAAUAAGUCUGAUGUGAAAGCCUUCGGCUCAACCGGAGAAUUGCAUCAGAAACUGUUGAACUUGAGUGCAGAAGAGGAGAGUGGAACUCCAUGUGUAGCGGUGGAAUGCGUAGAUAUAUGGAAGAACACCAGUGGCGAAGGCGGCUCUCUGGUCUGCAACUGACGCUGAGGCUCGAAAGCAUGGGUAGCGAACAGGAUUAGAUACCCUGGUAGUCCAUGCCGUAAACGAUGAGUGCUAAGUGUUGGGAGGUUUCCGCCUCUCAGUGCUGCAGCUAACGCAUUAAGCACUCCGCCUGGGGAGUACGACCGCAAGGUUGAAACUCAAGGAAUUGA
rnacentral:rRNA from 1 species